UCUUAUCAAGAGAGGUGGAGGGAUGUGCCCGAUGAAGCCCGGCAACCGUCAAGAAAUUGAAAUGGUGCCAAUUCACACAAAGCAUUGCUUUGACAGAUGAGA
rnacentral:ncRNA from 1 species